GACCGGGUUUUCCACGUUCCCGGGGCCCAUCCCCCUCCCGCCCCUGGUCCAGCAGGCAGGAGGCCGAGCCGUGUCGUCUCCCGGGUGCAGGCUCUGACCAGUGGGCCGCGUGGGCCUGGGGCUCUGCUUUCCUCACGGGGUCUGGGAUGCUGCCCCUGCUGGGCCUGAGCCCACGUCUGAGGGCUGAGGUGUCACUUCCCUGCCGUGCAGCCGAUGUGGUCAUUCCGAGCCUGGAAGGGGGCUUUCACACCUGGAAACUGCCUCCGGAGGCGCCUUUAUAUAUUUUUUGUUUUUACAAAAAUUUUAUUUAUGCGUACAAGAACCACAGGCCAGUGAUAUGGGGGGGGGCGGUAAAGAUUCACCAGAGACAGAGUGGGGAACAGAACAGGCAGAUUGACUGAAGUACACUGCUGAGGGGAGCCACUGGCAAGUCUGGAGGGGUCUGCUGCGCCAUGUGGGUAGCUCCCUGGCCGCCUGGGGAUCAAACACAGGCUGCAGAUGCUGCAGAUCUCUUCAUAGGUUGCUUCUUAACCCCUUGCACCACCAGGAAAGCCCAUGGGCCGACUUUAGACUCUCCCUUGAGUAGAAUCCAGGCUUUCCUGAGCCUUGAGUGACCAGGAGCCCCAUGGCCUGCCACACUCCGGCUGCAAGUCUUUGGUUUUCUAAAAUGGGUUAUUAUUAACAGAGUCAGUGUAGUGAGAGCAGGGGCCCUCUCUAUGUCACUAAAGGACCCACCCAAGAAACACAGCAGGUGAAGCCAGGGGCUGUCACCAACGGGGGGUGCAAAGUUCUUCAUGGGGGAUCAUCUGAGACCUGGAAGGGCCCUUCCCUGAGCUCUUGAGAUCUUUUCUCUAGGACACCUGGUGCCAAGAGGAUCCCUCCUAUUUCAGGGGCUGCAUCAGCCAUAGUGCCUCAUUCCCCUGGGAACUGGGCAUUUUGUAGAUAAUCCACAUUGCCUCUUAACCAUUCUAAUGUGUUAAAGUGAUGGUACCAUCUUCCUCGCAAAUCCCUGUUACGAGGAGAAGUUGGGCUCCUCAGGGAAGGAGAAAGGAAUCACAUACACUGAGCACCUGCUGGAGGUGACCUGAGGCCCUGCAGUGCACGCAUGACUGACAGAAAUACUCUGUGAGUACAAGGAGAUUAUUUUACAAUAAUAAACACUUACAUUUCACAAAGUAAAAGGAAAGUAAGAGGGCUCAUUUGCAUGUCUGGACCUGGGAUUUCUUGCAUGGCGCUCCAACGGUAGGCACAACUCUUGCAAUGUCCCCAGACCCAAAGCUUUCCCUGUGGUCCUUGUGCUCCAGGAAAUUGGUGAUCUUGGCUAUGUUUUCCUUAUAUAAUAAUUUUUUUUUCUUUUCUGGAUUUAUUGGACUGUUUUCUAUUGAAAUUUUCAUCUUCAAUCUCUCUCUCUCUGGUCUAUAGGUAGAGUGUACUGAUGAUGAGCCUGAUGCUGGUUUUCAUGGAAAGCCUUGUAGGUGAUAUCUACGGCUCUAGAUGGAUCUUGUGCUGCAGAGGCUGCGGAUAGUUUCAUAGUGCGGUGCUUCACCCCUGCGCCACCAGGGAGGCCCCAAGCCUUGCUUUUUUGUCAGCUUCAGGAUCUUGCUGCGGUGGACGCUGUCGGUGAAAGGCUGAGAGUCCCGGAGCCUGCAGCAGACCCGCCUGUGCCUCCUGCCACAGCCCACUGUGACCUGCUCAUUAGCUGGAGUUAUGUUGGGACAAGGCCUGAGGGUAGACUAAAAGUUUCACGGAGUGACUGAUGGACUUUCUCUGGGCAGGAGCCUGACUUGUGCGCCCCAGAUGACCAGUUAUGGGAUAAAGUAUUUCUCUCAAAAUGAGAAGAUACUCGUGUGGGGAGCCACGAAUGAGAUGAUCUCCAGAGGCGAUGACAACAUCAAUCAUGGUUUUAUUAACACGGAUUCAUUUUUCAUUUAUGCCUCGUAAUCAAAGCUCUGGCAUCUGAGUGUCACUUACCCGAGCUUCCCGGUCACCCUGCGCUGCGUCAACACCAGGGGCGCUGUUCAUUAGCCUGAAAGAGAAAACACAUCACGGGAUCCAUUAUAUGAGCGUUUUCAGGCAAAAGAGAAAAGGCUCCAGCUGAAGGUACAGGGCAUUUCUCUUAGGAAAAGGUUUUUAUAAAGAUCACAACAACUGUACAGAUCUCCCGCCGUCCUGCUUUGGGGGCACUCCGUGUCCCUUUCCAUUGACCUGAUACUGCACCCCAGGAAUCCUACAGGCUGGGUUCCCCUUCCCACUCUUACCCAGCACGACCUGGUCCCGCGGGUUCUCAGACUCGCUGCCCCGCGGCUGUGCAGCUUCUGCCAAAGGGAGCCGCUCCCCUGCACCAAGGUUUCUGUUUCUGGUGAGAGGCUCCCGCUAGGGUGGGAUCUGGAAUCAGAGAUGGGGCAGCUCUGGACUUGGGGAGCACUCACAGAGCUACUAGGACUUCACCAGAAGAAAGGGGAGGGCAGGAAACAGAGGUUGACACAUCUGAGAAGGGGGGUGCACAGGGCAGUGCCUCCAGAGAGGAAGGCGACGCUGUGCUCAGGGUUAGGGCUGAGUUUUGGGUACCAGCAGCCUCAGGUGCCCACCAUCAUCUCCGUCAAGGCCCCCAGAGUCAUAAAGUCCGCGAGUUGUCUGCACUGUUGGGGAGAGGAGCAGCGCCAGCCAAGGCGUCCAAAGAUACGAGGGUCCCCACUUGGAAGUGGGGCCUGCGAAUCAGCUGCUCUUUCAGUUCAUGACAUUGGGGAUAGGACAGGGAGGGCCUUGGGGGUGCAGUGACAGGAGCGGGGAGUAAGGGGGA